rnacentral:tRNA from 1 species
GGUCGUGUGGCGCAAUGGAUAGCGCGUCGGGCUUCGGACCCGACGGUUGCAGGUUCGAGUCCUGUCACGAUCG